rnacentral:rRNA from 1 species
AGUGAACGCUGGCGGCAGGCCUAACACAUGCAAGUCGAGCGGAAGAAGAGAGCUUGCUCCUGGAUUCAGCGGCGGACGGGUGAGUAAGGCAUAUGAAUCUGCCUGGCAGCUUUGUAUAACGUGCUGAAACAGGCGCUAAUACCCCAUACGUCCAGAGGGAGAAAGUGGGGGAGCUUCGGACCUCACGCUAUCAGAUGAGCCUAUGUCGGAUUAGCUAGUUGGUGGGGUAAAGGCCUACCAAGGCGACGAUCCGUAGCUGGUAUGAGAGGAUGAUCAGUCACACUGGAACUGAGACACGGUCCAGACUCCUACGGGAGGCAGCAGUGGGGAAUAUUGGACAAUGGGCGCAAGCCUGAUCCAGCCAUGCCGCGUGUGUGAAGAAGGUCUUCGGGUUGUAAAGCCCUUUUGGUUGGAAGGAAGAGCAGUAAGUUAAUACCUUGCUGUUUUGACGGUACCAACAGAAUAAGCACCGGCUAACUUCGUG